UUUCAUUUAAUCUCCACGAAUCGGAUCGGAUCGGCGUCUUUAUUUUUCAUUAUUUUUAGUUUUUUUUUAAUAAUUUUGUUGUUUUUUCAAAAGCCUCAAGUGUUCGUGGUGGUGUUUAAACAAAACAUUAACGUUUAAGAUUUGCUGAAAAACAAAAAACAAUGAUUAACACUUUGCUGGAGCAUGUGCCCAUCAAAAUGGAAGAUGUAAUCGAGGCAGCAGGGAAUAAUAACGCAGGCAAUGGUACAGACGAACAUGUAAAGGAUGACGAUGAAAUUGACUCGGAGGACGAAGAUGAUGAUGAGGAUUUGGAGGAGGAUGAUGAGGAGAGUGACAGCGAAGUCUUUGAAGUCGAACAAGAGGUCACCAUGUUAAUGAGCAGUGAUGAAGAAGCCGAAUUGGAAGCACAACGCAUCCGAUUCCCCGAAAAGAGGGCAGCGAGAAAAAAGUCGCAGGAUUCUAAAACAAGCCGUACGGCAAGCCGAAAUAGCAUCAGCAGCCAGUCUUCCUCAAGCAACUCUACUGCAACAGCCAGCAGCAAGACCAGCCCCAAUAAAUUGAAUGGCGAAAUCAACGAAACUAAAAACAAUAAACAACAACAACUGCCUGCAAAUGAAAAGGAGACAACCAAAAGCGGCGACUCUGUUACUGCUAACACACCAACGCCACAAACGCAACAACAGCGAACAUCGCCACGCACAAAUAAUAAAAAGGAAAAUAAUCCACCAGACACCACAACCACUAGUGGCGAUGGUAGUGCUGGCGUCGGCGACCUACGACAAGUCGUUAACUGUCGCAGACAAAGCAACAAUUCCACUUGCAGUGUGGGUUCUUCUAUAGCUUCCUCGGAAUCCGCCGAAACAGAAUCCUGUGGUAACAUUUACGUCUUUCAACGACAACAGAAACUCAUUUUCAGCUGUGAAUUUUGUGAUUUGAAAUAUGAAACUCUGGAGAAUCUCAGUCGCCACUUACACGAAACGCAUCAUCUCUUCCAAACACAGGAUGAAGAUCAGGAAAAGGAAAAUUCCCCACGCAAUUUGCGCAACAAGAACAGAGCCUUCAAUCAUUUGCCGACCAAGGCACUACAACAACAAACAUUGAGGGCAGUGAAGAAGGAACCUCUGCAAACAACAGCCGAGACAACUUUGCCACCUGUUGCUCUCUCCCUCGAUACACAAUCUGAACAUUCCUUGGAGUCAUGUGGUAAUGUUUUUGUGCUAAAUCAUCGCAAGCUAUUCCUCAUAUGUGGUCACUGUGAGACCAAAUAUGCAAAUGUGGAACUAUUUGAGAAGCAUUUGCGGCAACAGCACGAUGUCUUUGACGGCACCAAGGCUUGCAAUGAGGUGAAUGUUGUACCCAAAACCGAAAUAAAGGAAGAAGUUUUCAUAAUAACCGAGGUAGUGGAAAGAGCUGCGGUGACACCGGCUACCGAGGCUGCUAUGGUUACCAUACCAGCUGAAAUUCCCUUAAACAUAAGCACCAACGAAAUCGAAGAGGAGACAACACAAGGCUCUGAAGAAGUGAUAGUGCCCCAUGAAAUUCCCAUGGAAAGUGAAGUUAUUUCUUCCAUACAAAUACAUGAUUCAGGGGUAACAGUAGCUGAGAUACCAGUACUCAUAACAACAGAGGAAGCCGGGCCUAUACAGCAAAUUGCCGCCGAGUCACUGACAAGUUCUAUGCCUUCUAUAGCAGUUGGCGAUACUGUUAAAGAAACCAUAAUUGUUCAAGAAAUUGAAGUAGAGCAAAGACCACCUUCUCCGCCAAAAGAACAGCGCAAAAGACGAUCUUCCACAGAAUGUAGAGAAAACAAAAAAUCACCUCAAAAACGACCGCGAAGAAACACACGAAAAACAACAGAGAGCCCAACAGAUAAGAAGGAAUCUGAAAACUCGACUCAAAAACGUAAAUCUCCAGUCGCAAUAAAGGACAUUGAAAAAUCAGAUGAAAAAGAAGGUCCACCAGCGGUCACGGAAACAACUAAGGAAACAGAAACUAUUCCAGAAGCCAACGUUAAGGAAAAAACUAAAAACAGCUCUAAGAAGAAAGCCACAACUGCAACUAAGGUACCUAAAAGAAAACGGAAACCUGUAGCGAAAACAAAAAUCGAGAAACCGGAAACCGUACCCUUAACGACACCUUCACUACCCCCAACAUUCACAAAACCUGAAAUUAAUACGAGUGGGCUUUCUGACCGAGAUGAAGAAUUCCUUGAGGACCCGGUGGCCGAAAUAAUAGAACAAAUACAAAAUGAAAUGAAUAAUGGCGCCCAAGAAGUGCGAAUAGAAAAUGUUUGCUCCAUUCCCACAACCUUAAGCAAUAUCUUCUCUAAUUCCACCGCACAAAUUAUAGGCUCUGAGGUUAACCUGAGCAAGCCACAAUUACUCAACAACAAUGGUCCCGAUUCCCCAGAAGAUAUUAAGCCCAUCAUCAAUCAUUUGGGUGAGCGAAGGUUCGCCUGUGACCAGUGUCCUCGUUCGUUUAGGAAGAAUGUGCGCCUGGUAGAACACAAACGUCUGCACACCGGCGAGAAGCCUUUUGUCUGCGAUGAGUGCGGCAAGAGUUUCCGCAUACGCAUGCAACUGAAUGAACACAAACUUCGACAUUCCAAAGAAAAGAAAUUCAUAUGCGAGGUAUGCCAAUUGGGUUGUUGCACCAAGCAGGACCUGAAUUUACACAUGCGACAUCAUACCAACGAUCGUCGUUUCCAUUGUACCAUGUGUCCCAAGGCCUUUGUAAGAAAUUCCGAUUUGAAGAUUCAUGUGCGUGUCCAUACAGGCGAGAAACCCUAUGUCUGUGACAUAUGCCACAAAUGUUUUAGGGCCAAUCAAAAUCUCAGCGUUCAUAAGAAAUCUCAUAUGGGUGAAGCUUCCCGCACCUACAAAUGUGAACAUUGUGACAAGAAGUUUUUGCGUAACAUUGAUCGUACGGUUCAUAUGCGUUCCCACACCGGCGAAAAGCCCUUCAAAUGUGAAAUAUGCAAUCGGGCCUAUUCAUCGAAAUUCAAUGUAAGAGCACACAUAGAACGGGAUCACAUAUCGGAAAAUGGCAAAAAGAAACCGGGGCCCAAGCCCAGGGCUUUGAAAGAGGAAUUGGCCAAGCAAAAAAAGUUGAUAGAGGAGUUGCAGCAACAAUUAUUGCAGCAAAUAAAAACGGAUGAGAAGGAUAUACCAGCUGAGGAGCAUUCGAACAAUGUAAGUGAUAUGGAAGAUGCCACAGUUAUGGCUGGCAUGCCUAUAACCAAUACAAGCAACACUAAUGUCACUACCAACACCACCACCACAACGACCAAUGAACAUAAUGAGUCGUUUAUAAUUUCGGAAAUAAACUCUCCCACCUCGGUAUCGUUAAGGGCAAUGCCUUCACCUGCAAGUAUUUUAUUGGAUAACCCCUUCACCAAAGCAGCCAGACAAAAGUCAUCGUCAUCGUCAUCAUCACCAUCACCACCAUCAGCAACAGCAACCACAACAACAACUAUGGUUCCAUUGACCAUAACACCCAAUAGCACUACCACCCAAGUGGUAUCGCAAAAUACUUCGUUGGGCAUACAACAGGUGAUGUCGGUUACAGUUUCCAUGCAGGUCGAAAAUGUUCCCGCCAAUGCCACACCCGCAGAAAAAGAAAAUACCGGCAUGUCCAAUUUACAAUUGACCACUACGGCAACAACGCCACCAGCGAAUAAUGUUAAAAAAGAAAGAAAGAUAACCAGUUAUUUCACCGUAGUUGGUCAAAAGGCUGAAGCCUAAGAAAGAUUUUAAAUGAAAUAAGGGAUUAUGUAACAAAAAUCCUUGUAUUUUUAGGUAACGAUUAAGGUUUCAAGAUUUUAUUUCCGUUAUCAAAUUCUUCUCAUGCAUAACUUCACUGUAAAUAUCCUAUAAACCUCUUGACAUUUUUAUGGUGGCUGGGUCUGUUUGAAUUGAACCAUCUUACCUUUACUAAUAUAACCUCGCAGCAUGCUUGAUUUUCUUGUAUACUAUCUCAACUAUGGUCCUAUUGGCCACAUCCCCUUUAGGAAUUGUCGUUUAUAAGGCCUUUGUAUAGAAUUAAACUAAACAACAUAAUUAAGAAGAAAAUUUGAGGAAAUACCCAACUUGCCCAAAAACCAUAUGAAGUAAAAAAACCUAUUUGACCGAAAAAAAAAAAUUCUAAACAGCCUUAAAAUAAAUGGCAGCAAUGCGAACUUUAAAAAAAAACAAAAUAAAUGAUAUUACUACGAGUAAAAAACUUUUGUUAUAAUAAAAAUCUAAAAAGAACACAACAACAUUGUUAAAAAUAUUUACAAAACUUUAUAUAGGUAUAUAUAUUUUUGAUAUAUCAUUUACCUUGAAUGAAAUGUAGUUUUAAUCAUUAAGAAAGUUUUCUUAUUGCCAAAAAAAGAAAAACAAGAAAACAAACAAAACCCACAAAAAGACUCAUAAGACUUAAAACCUUUGCAAAACAAAACCAGGUUCAAUUUUUAUAAAAAAAAAAAAACGAAAAUGAAAAUAAAAAUAAAAUUAUUUUAUAUAUAACAACAGCUAAUAAGUUAGUGAUAAGGAUUUAAAAUCCUUAAGAAAAAAAAACGAAAAAAUUGUUUUCAGAAUUAUAUAAAACAAUUUAAAAUUUUUUAAUAAUAAUUGAAUAUUAAACAUGAAACGUUCAGCAUGCCAAUAUUGGCAAAAAUAUACUCAAAAAUUAUUUUUUACUGCAUUAAUUAUUCCAUUUAAAGCUGAAUUACUUUUGCUUUUUUUUAAUUAUUGAACAACAAAAUUAUUUCACCCAAACGCACACCUAAUAACUUUAGUUUAUUUUUUUUAAGAAAACAAUCUUGGGUUUUUAUAUAUUUAUAUUAAUUUUGCUUUAAAUUAUAAAUGAAUUAUUAAAAACAAAAUAUUUAUGUAUUAAACAAUUAUUUUUCUUUCCACACCCAUUUAGUUAUAAGUUUUUUUUUUUAAUGGAUAAAAUUAAGUUAUAAAAUAAAAAAGAAAAAAAUUAUAUUUAAUUUUCUAAAAAGACACUACUACUUGAUCUACUUAAAAGGGAGUUUGUUUUGAAUUUUUUACCAUAAUCAUAUACUACUACUACUUGUACUCUUCCAAACACACCUCACUUUCAAUUUAAUGGAAAACAACUCAUUUAAAAUUACAUUUUUAAUUUAUUCUAUUAAGUAUC